rnacentral:rRNA from 1 species
CCUACGGGGGGCAGCAGUGGGGAAUCUUGCACAAUGGGCGAAAGCCUGAUGCAGCAACGCCGCGUGGGCGAAGAAGGCCUUUGGGUCGUAAAGCUCUGUCCUAAGGGAAGAAGGAAGUGACGGUACCUUAGGAGGAAGCCCCGGCUAACUACGUGCCAGCAGCCGCGGUAAUACGUAGGGGGCAAGCGUUAUCCGGAAUUAUUGGGCGUAAAGAGUACGUAGGCGGUUCUUUAAGCGCAGGGUUUAAGGCGAUAGCUUAACUAUCGUUCGCCCUGUGAACUUGGGGACUUGAGUAUCGGAGGUGG